rnacentral:rRNA from 1 species
AUGAGUAGGAGACACGGGAUGCCUCGUACGGCGAGUGAAGCGGCAACAGCUCAAAUUUGAAAUCUGGCUCACGCCCGAGUUGUAAUUUGCAGAGGAUGCUUCGGGCGCGGCGCUUUCCAAGUCCCCUGGAACGGGGCGCCACAGAGGGUGAGAGCCCCGUCUGGUUGGCCGCCAAGCCUGUGUGAAGCUCCUUCGACGAGUCGAGUAGUUUGGGAAUGCUGCUCUAAAUGGGAGGUAGACCCCUUCUAAAGCUAAAUACCGGCCAGAGACCGAUAGCGCACAAGUAGAGUGAUCGAAAGAUGAAAAGCACUUUGAAAAGAGGGUUAAAAAGUACGUGAAAUUGUUGAAAGGGAAGCGCUUGUGACCAGACGUGUGCCGGGCGUUCAGCGGGCGUUCUCGCCCGUGUAUUCGCCCCGGUGCAGGCCAGCGUCGGUUCGCGCGGGGGGAUAAAGGCGUCAGGAACGUAGCUCUUUCGGGAGUGUUAUAGCCUGGCGCGCCAUGCCCCCGCCUGGACCGAGGUUCGCGCUCCGCAAGGACGCUGGCGUAAUGGUCUCCAGCGGCCCGUCUUGAAACACGGACCAAGGAGUCGAGGUUUUGCGCGAGUGUCUGGGUGUCAAACCCGCACGCGUAAUGAAAGUGAACGCAGGUGGGAGCUUCGGCGCACCACCGACCGAUCCUGAUGUUCUCGGAUGGAUUUGAGUACGAGCGUAGGGCCUCGGACCCGAAAGAUGGUGAACUAUACUUGGAUAGGGUGAAGCCAGAGGAAACUCUGGUGGAGGCUCGCAGCGGUUCUGACGUGCAAAUCGAUCGUCAAAUCUGAGUAUGGGGGCGAAAGACUAAUCGAACCAUCUAGUAGCUGGUUACCGCCGAAGUUUCCCUCAGGAUAGCAGUGUUGAUCUCAGUUUUAUGAGGUAAAGCGAAUGAUUAGGGACUCGGGGGCGCUAUUUAGCCUUCAUCCAUUCUCAAACUUUAAAUAUGUAAGAAGCCCUUGUUGCUUAAUUGAACGUGGGCAUUCGAAUGCAGCAACACUAGUGGGCCAUUUUUGGUAAGCAGAACUGGCGAUGUGGGAUGAACCAUACGGGGGGUUAAGGUGCCGGAGUGGACGCUCAUCAGACACCACAAAAGGCGUUAGCACAUCUUGACAGCAGGACGGUGGCCAUGGAAGUCGGAAUCCGCUAAGGACUGUGUAACAACUCACCUGCCGAAUGUGCUAGCCCUGAAAAUGGAUGGCGCUCAAGCGUCCCACCCAUACCCCCCCCUCAGGGUAGAAACGAUGCCCUGAGGAGUAGGCGGCCGCAGCGCUGAGUGACGAA